AGGUAGCAAGAUGGCGGCGCAACAGCGGGUCCGUGAGGGUGGUGCGCAGCUGGCAGGGCCCGCGGCGGAGGCCGACCCGCUAGGUCGCUUCACGUGUCCCGUGUGCUUAGAGGUGUACGAGAAGCCGGUGCGGGUGCCCUGCGGACACAUCUUUUGCUCUGCAUGCCUGCAGGAAUGUCUGAAGCCGAAGAAACCUGUCUGUGGGGUGUGUCGCAGCCCUCUGGCACCUGGCGUCCGAGCCGUGGAGCUCGAGCGGCAGAUCGAGAACACAGAGACUUCUUGCCAUGGCUGCCAUAAGAAUUUCUUCCUGUCCAAGAUCCGGGCCCAUGUGGCUACCUGUUCCAAAUACCAGAAUUACAUCAUGGAAGGUGUGAAGGCCACCACUAAGGAUGCGUCCCUUCAGCCAAGGAAUGUCCCAAACCGUUAUACCUUUCCUUGUCCUUACUGUCCUGAGAAGAACUUUGACCAGGAAGGACUUGUGGAACACUGCAAAUUAUCCCAUAGCAUGGAUACCAAACCUGUGGUUUGUCCAAUAUGUGCCUCGAUGCCCUGGGGAGACCCCAGCUACCGCAGCGCCAACUUUAUAGAGCACAUCCAGCGCCGGCACCAGUUUUCUUAUGACACUUUUGUGGAUUAUGAUGUCGAUGAAGAGGACAUGAUGAAUCAGGUGUUGCAGCGCUCCAUCAUUGAUCAGUGAGCAGAGUCUGUGCCAUCCAUCUCAUUUUCCAGAGCUUCCAGUAUGUGUUAAACGUGAAACCUUUGACUCCUACACCUUAACUGUACAACAGACCUGGAAAUGAGCCAUGGCUUUGGGACAGGGUCACUUCUGACAGGGGAAACGGAAACAGGUCCCCAGGUCAGAGCUCUCCUUUCCUUUUGGUUCUUGCCAAAGCUGUCUUCCUAUACCUUAACUUCGUUUGUUACAUGGUCCAGUCUUUAUUGGCCCCAGCUUCUUCCUGGAGCUUCUGCCUCCUCUUCUGGAAGAGAACUCAGCUUCUCCACCUCCACCUGUUCUUGUUUCACACUCGUUCCUCCCAUUCAGUGUUCAUCUCUCAGGUCCUCUGAGCCAGUCAGGACCUUUUCUGGGUCAUGAAUAGCACAAUCAAACAAGCAUCUCCUUUCCUUGUCCUUGAGGUAUGUGAACUCUGGCAGCAGUGCAUCUGACCAGUGCUGAAGCUCCUGCGGUGCUGCAGAGCUGCUUGUCAGUGGUUCAUCGGCAGCAGCUGCCAGAAGCUGGAGUUGCCAUCCCAGGGAACAUUUCAAAAGUCCUCUUGGGUGAAUGUUCUGGGUUUAGCAUGAUUUGAUGCUGUAAGUUUAGAUUAGUGAUAUUUUCCUUUUACUCCUGCACACCCUUAGAGUUAACUGGUUCAGUCUUAAAUGCCUGCAUGGUGCCUUUUUAGAGUAAGGUAUAACCAUCUAUUUUUAGUAGAAAUAUUUCUAGGUUAGGAAAGUUAAAAUCCAUUUAUCCACAGGUGGGGAGGAGGGUCAGCCAAGAGAGGUAGGAGGGCCAUAGAUUUUUGUUUAUAAGUUUCAGAUGAGUGGGUCAUGUUUACUUGUUUGGAAGCCUGCUUACAUUUUUGUCCUGGAAGCACGAAAAAGAGUCUCAAAUAAGAAGGAAGGGUUUGGAUGCUCCAAUGGAUACUAGUACUUUUAUCUUCUAGAUGAUAACUUAGAUUAAACUGAACAUUGUUUUUAUGUCCCACAUGGUUUCCUUAUGACACUGGUUUCAACAUGUAGGUCUGUGUUUGAAAACCUGCAUUCUAAAAUGCAGAGUAAGGAAGGCUAUAGGAAAUCCAGGAUCACACCCUGUUGUCUCUUCUGACAAGACACACUGUUUAUAAGGCACAGUAGAUCUGAUGAGUAGUAGUUAAUAAAAGCUGUCUACUGGAGACUUGCUUUAGCUCAAGAAGCUUGAAGUUCAACAUUUCACAAAGGUUAAUAAAUAUAAGGCUAAGAGCUGUCAGCCUGAUCUGUAGGAGCAAAACUUCUGAUUGACCAAAAGAUAUAUGGAUUUAGGUUUGCCCUUUCAUGUUACACAUCCUUAGUCUGAAUAUGGAAAUUGUUUUCUGGUCAGUGGCUGAGGUUGCAAGUGACACUGGGCUUUCUGCCUUUAUGUUGCUGCUGUGGGCCUCUCCUUGCCUGCCAGUAAAGAGCUGCAGAUACCUAGUAACCAGUGAAGAUGGGCCCAUUUGGGGCAAAAUAAUUUUUCCUAAUGUGCUAUUACUUGGGAGGACCCAAAUGUUAAGGUCAGCUGCUUCACUGUAAUUUCUGGAUAAGUUCACUCCACCCUCCCUGAAUUGAGGUCAUCUCAGUAGAAGUUUGGAGGGAAGUUUGACAAAACCUUUUGAGGGGACUGAUGAGAGCAUGUCCAUUUCACUGGUGGUACCAAGAAACUUCUUUCCUUGUAUUAAGUGCACUUCAUGUAUUUCUAAUAAGAUGACUUUCCAGAAAGUGAAAUUUGUUAUGUUCUGGCUUUUAAAAGGUGAAAUAUAAAUAAAUUUCAUAAUUUAUCCAA